rnacentral:rRNA from 1 species
AUUGAACGCUGGCGGCGUGCUUAACACAUGCAAGUCGCGCGAGAAAGGUUCCUUCGGGAGCUGAGUAGAGCGGCGCACGGGUGAGUAACGCGUGGGUGACCUACCUUAGAGAUUGGGAUAACAGCGGGAAACUGCUGCUAAUACCGGAUACGCUUCAUGUUUGACUUCAUGGGGGAAAGGCGGCCUCUGCUUGCAAGCUGCCACUCUAAGAUGGGCCCGCGUCCCAUUAGCUUGUUGGUGAGGUAACGGCUCACCAAGGCAACGAUGGGUAGCUGGUCUGAGAGGAUGACCAGCCACACUGGGACUGAAACACGGCCCAGACUCCUACGGGAGGCAGCAGUGGGGAAUAUUGCGCAAUGGGCGAAAGCCUGACGCAGCGACGCCGCGUGAGGGAAGAAGGCCUUCGGGUCGUAAACCUCUGUCGGGAGGGAAGAAACCAUUAGGGUCGAAUAGGCCCUUUUGCUGACGGUACCUCCGAAGGAAGCACCGGCUAACUCCGUGCCAGCCGCCGCUGUAA